rnacentral:rRNA from 1 species
UACGUAGGGGGCAAGCGUUGUCCGGAAUCAUUGGGCGUAAAGAGCGUGUAGGCGCCAGAAAAGUCCGCUGUGAAAACUCGAGGCUCAACUUCGAGCUGUCGGUGGAAACUUUCUGGCUAGAGUCCGGAAGAGGAGAAUGGAAUUCCUGGUGUAGCGGUGAAAUGCGCAGAUAUCAGGAGGAACACCGGUGGCGAAGGCGGUUCUCUGGGCCUUACCUGACGCUGAGGAGCGAAAGCGUGGGGAGCAAACGGG